GAUGAACGCUGGCGGCGUGCCUAAUACAUGCAAGUCGAGCGAACAGACGAGGAUCUUGCUCCUCUGACGUUAGCGGCGGACGGGUGAGUAACACGUGGAUAACCUACCUAUAAGACUGGGAUAACUUCGGGAAACCUGAGCUAAUACCGGAUAAUAUAUUGAACCGCAUGGUUCAAUAGUGAAAGACGGUUUUGCUGUCACUUAUAGAUGGAUCCUCGCCGCAUUAGCUAGUUGGUAAGGUAACGGCUUACCAAGGCGACGAUGCGUAGCCGACCUGAGAGGGUGAUCGGCCACACUGGAACUGAGACACGGUCCAGACUCCUACGGGAGGCAGCAGUAGGGAAUCUUCCGCAAUGGGCGAAAGCCUGACGGAGCAACGCCGCGUGAGUGAUGAAGGUCUUCGGAUCGUAAAACACUGUUAUUAGGGAAGAACAAAUGUGUAAGUAAAUAUGCACGUCUUGACGGUACCUAAUCAGAAAGCCACGGCUAACUACGUG
rnacentral:rRNA from 1 species